rnacentral:pre_miRNA from 1 species
GACGCCGGCGGUAGCCCGGGGAAGAGCUUUCUUCUCUUUUUUAGGCUGCUGGAGGCCCC